GUUCUGACAGUCAGUGGAGCUAAGCUAUAGAAAAGAGGUAUCUUGAGACGACCUCCCUUCCCCUACCAUGGUGCUGAGCAGGUGGGGCAGGAGCCACCGAUUGGCAGCAUAUUGCGGUGAUGCUGUCUGGUCCGCAGAUGACCAGUCAGUGGAGCUGCUCCAGCCGAGGCUGCUACUUUGAUGUGACCGUGCAGUAGUUCCAAAACUUGUGAGGAUACUGAGAAGAUAACCCUGGAUAAAUACAUCACCACCUGGCAAAUGACAAGGCAAGUGGGAACGAAUGAAAACUGCGAAAGGAAAUAAGGCCAGACUACAAAAUCACUUGCUACUGAUUUCUGUCUUCCUUGCCCACUGGAGUCUCAGGAUGCUUUGUCCUAUAUAACAGAAGGAUUGCUGAGCUGUCUUGAAAGAAUUCAGAGACUAUGGAAUGCAGCCACUCUUCAUUUAUGAUUUGAGAAGAUAGGAUGGAAGUAAAGAAUGACCAGGCAAUACUCUUUGAAAAUUGGAGACCAUUUGCAGCUGCUCUCUGCUGAGGAAAGUGAAUAAUAGGGUGCCCUCAAGGAAUUUCAAAGAGGAUGAAAUAAUUCAGAGGUCUCCUUCUGCCAAUAUCCUUCCGGUAUUCCUGCAAGGCAGAGACUUAACAUGCAAGCAGGUCUUAAAAACGGUGCAGCUGAUAUGGAGAACUGGGAUGUGAGUAAAAUGCUUGGUCAGUUCUCUCUCUGACUGGCUAAAGGAUAUUUCCAGACUCUUCUUUUCAUUAAUCAUUUCCAGGAAAGAGAGAACAAUCAGCUCCCCAAGCCAGAUGAGGAGGGGCCCCUUCUGCUUCUCCUGUAGCACCACCAAGUGAUUGGAAGCAGAAGACGCUCAGAAGCGAUGGAGACACUGAGGCUGAACACAAGCCUUGUCUAGCAAAUCACAGGCCACAAUAAGCUGUAAAGCCUUGAAGGACAGUUAGGGACUAAAUAAACCCAGCUGAAUGUGUGUAUCUGAUCUGGAUAUGAUGACACUCUGGAAGAGGGUUUAAAAGCAAGCAGUGUAACUGGCAUAACUCAUCCUGUUAAAAUCAAGAGGAGUUUUAUAACAGGUUUAUAAUGGCAAUGGAGCUCAGCCAGAGCUGGGGGCUGUGGAACAGGAACCUACUAAACAGUGAAUCAGAAGACCAGUAUUUCUUAGUGAUAGUUUUCUUGUGGUUAUAAACCUUGUUACCAACAAGUGAGGCUUUUUCCAAACUGGAGUUUGUUCUUUGAGGCAGAUUUCUGCAGCUCUUUCUUCCCAAGCUGUUCAUGCUUUCAUAUGUGCCAUCAGAGUGCACUGCUGGGUUAGCUAGCAAAAGUCUUUUUCAAGGAAAGGUGUAUGUUUGCAAAAAUUUGAGUGUGACCCCAUGCUUCAAACACACAAACCUGUUGCCAUAGAUAUCAGCAUGAAGGAAACACAGGGAUUUAGGAAGGGAACAGAGAGAAAUAUUUAUUUCACUUUAAAAAGUGACCUUGGAAAUGUGCAUAUCAAUUAACCAGCAUCUGCCAAGAAGUUAUUCUACAAACAGAAAACUAAAGAGCUUGCAAAGAAGAAUUUUUUUCUUUCUGAAAGAGAUGGCUGCAUGCCCACAUGAAUUCUAUAUCUCCACAAAAAAUGUGUAUUUUUAAAAAUCUCUUAUCAGAUCUACCGAGAUGAAAUUAGUCUUGACUAGAAAUGCUGUUGAGAGCCAAGGAGAAUCGGGAAUUAGAAACUCCACAGUUGCAAAUUCUAGUUUAGUUCAUUUCACGUGUUCCUGCUGAGAAAGAGCAGAACCUUUGUGCCUCUGCAAUGUUUUCAUAACCCUUCCAAUACCCAGCUCUGAGUGAGAGACAUCUAUGGACAUCCACUGCAUGUCAAGUGCAAGAGAGAAAUGAAAGGUCUGAAGGAUCAGAGCUCAUCCUGGAGCAACUAAACCAGAGCUUUGGGCCAUAAUAGCACAGCCCUUAGACAGGACGAGCUCAUAUGAACUGAAUAAUUAAAUGUGUGUAUCUUCAGUAGUUUGGUUCUGUAUGUCAUUUUGUUACAGCUUAGUUGAACUUUCUGAUAGAAACAAAUUUCAGGAAUUUGGUACACCAGAGGAGAAAAAAAAGAAAAAAAAUAAAA